GGGACUACUGGCUCAUAUGGCAACUCUAUUUUUAGCUUUUUAAGGAAAAAAAUUCUUUAAAAGAUAUGUGAAGCCGCUAAAUUUGGAGGGCUUGCUGCAGGCCUUACACUGCCCUAACUCAUGUGCUAUGAGGGAGGGGUGGGAGUCUUUGGGGAGAGAGUGGGUGUCUUUGUCUUUGUGGGCCAUCAGGCCUCUGUUGUGACUAGUCAGCUCUGCUGUUGCAGCAGGAAAGCAGUCAAAGAAAAUGCAAGAGCAACGCUUGUGGCUGUUUCUUUUUUUUUUCCACAGAGCUGCGUGACCCUAGUUCCCCAACCAGGGAUCAAACCCACGCCCUCUGCAGUGGAAACACAGACUGUUAACCACUGGACCGCCAGGGAAGUCCUGAGUGGCAGUGUUUUAAUAAGACCUUGUAUACACAGACUCCAUGUAUACACAAAGCUCCAAUACUGUGGCCACCUGAUGUGAAGAGCUGACCCAUUGGAACAGUCCCUGAUGCUGGGAAAGACUGAAGGAUUAAUGUCAGACUACGCCCUUUGGGCAGGAAUACGGAUGGCGCCAUGUUCUCACGUGUAUGUCACAUCACGGGGCCCACACUCCGGCUGGCCCCGUUGUUGGGGAAUCUCGCUCCAGAUGCAGAGGUCUUGAUGAAAUGGGAAGAGUUCUGGACUGAGAGAAUACGUUGGUGUGUGCAAAGUGAGUCCAUUGAAUUUCCCGGGAACCUACUCUACUUUGUCCUAAAUUCUUUGUUAACUUUGUCCAGGCCCCUCAGGGCAGUGGGGUGCGACCAUGUUAGAGGGUGACUUUCUUUUACAAAUAAGUUAUUUAUAUAUUUAUUUAGUCAGAAUAUGUUCUUUGACAGUCACAGUCAAGCAUCUUGAAAAUUCUGUGGAAUGUAAAGACGCUUAUUUGGAAACUGCAUGAGAUAAGAACCUCUUCAUGUAGUAACGUUGACUGGGGUUUUUUGGGGAGGAGGGUAUAGGGAGAGAGCAAAUUAGCCCAGAGAGUGUGUUCAGGCUCUCUCCUUCCCGUUCUGUAAAUAAUAACUAUGUAACAGCUGAGCUCAUCUGUAGCACCGUGCAUGCGCACCACGAGAUAUUCUCUUGGUCUCGACUACCUUGUGUGAAAUGCCUCUGUGAACAUCACCUGGAAAAGCCCUGGAGGGUUGUGUACGGUUAUGCUGUGUUAAAUUACGGCUGCUGCACCAGCCAAGAGAGAAGAAAACGUCUGCAGUUCCUACGGCUCCUCGGGUCUCCUUCAGCUUCUCAGCUCACUCCUUGCCUACUCUGGGCUCAACCAACAGUGCUGACGGUGUGAAAAACAAGACAAUUGGCCCUGUGAGCGGGAUCAACAACAGAGAGGGGUGAGGUUAUAUCUGAAAGAAAGCUAAAACUGAUGAAUUUGCAGUUAGAAGUGAAUUUAAUGACAAUUGUUCUUCAACAAAGAAAGACCAAACUGACACCUCUAAGAUGCCACAUCAGAGACGUCUCCACUCAAAAUAGCUUCACAACAGACUGGUUCUCACAUCUUUACUAAUAAACACAAGAUCUCAUCACCAAUGCUUGUGGUGAGGAUUUCACAAUGAUUGGGGGUGUCGUGGCUCAUUUGUGAACCAGAUGUGUCUAAACUGAAAUCUGAAAAUUCUCACUUGGUAAACAGGAUGAUGAAAGCUGGACGUGAAGCGGCCUUGUGGAGGUAUAAGCAUGAAAGAACUGUUUACAUGUUUUUUGAGCUCAAAUUUGGGACAGUUGUUAUUUUACAAGAUUGAAAUUUUCCUUUAUUUACCUGGUGUCUAACUUGGUUCUCAAAUUGUAGUUCAGUUUUAUCCAUGGCAACAAAAACUAGAGUUUGAGAAUGAAGCUUUUAUUUGUUGGGGAAAUGAGAGCCAAAUCAUCUUGUUUGUUUUGGAUACUCAUAAAGAUUGAAGA